rnacentral:rRNA from 1 species
ACUCCUACGGGAGGCAGCAGUGGGGAAUCUUCCGCAAUGGGCGAAAGCCUGACGGAGCAACGCCGCGUGAGUGAAGAAGGCCUUCGGGUCGUAAAGCUCUGUUGUUCGGGACGAAUGGCAGUACGAAGAACAAGCGUACUGCAUGACGGUACCGGACGAGGAAGCCACGGCUAACUACGUGCCAGCAGCCGCGGUAAU